AGUGCCCGCUGGAGGUGGUCUUUAACAGCUAAGAGAACACACAACUGCUUUGAAUUAUGCAUCCUAAUGAGCAUAGAGGGCUACAUUCAAGCAGAUAUUUAUGAAAGCAAAACAUGGUACGCAAAAUGACCAAGACUAGGAUAACGUUACAUAUCACUGUGUUUCUGCAACAACAGAUGCAACUAUUCAGGAUUGGAGUUUUAAGUAAACAAUACGCCACAAGGAAGUGUGACAGGGUUUAAGAAUAUAGGCUGCUGUGAUUUAGCUGUCCCUUGAGGAGAGGAGCACACAUCAAGAAGGCUUUCAGGAGUGUUGUUCCAUUUUAAUUUACCAGAAAUGGAAAAAGGAUCAUUGUUUAACUUCAACUCUUCUCAUCUUCUAAACCAAAAAACAGUUUCUCUUGGGAUUAGAUGUUUCUAGGAUUUGGAAAAGUAAAGAGGCCUCAGCUUUUUAUUUAUUUUUUCCUAUUUUCAAGUAAUGGAUGACCUACACAAGGCAUUUCAGUCCCUGAAGCAACAAACUGAAGAGAAAAUUUGAGCAAAUGGGCUUUUGAACACCUCUUAGACCCCUGGCUCUUCCCCUGCCUAUGAAGAGAAUUGGCCCUAAAGGGAAGAAUUCUAUUGCUUUUGUAUAAUCUACAGCCCUCAGGAGAGGGUUUCUUGCUACUCUGAAUAACCCUAUUAUGUAGCACAACUUCAGUGAACCAACAGUGAUAUUUUGCUAUGCAGCUCUGAUUCCUAUUUAAUUGAAUCAUCCAUUUUUUUAAAAAAAAAAUAGCUUUCUUUAGGUAUAAUUUACAUACCACAAAAUUCACCCAUUCAUAGUAUACAGUUGAGUAAUUUUUAGUGUAUUCUCAGAGUUGUGCAACCAUCACCACUAUCUAACUUUCAAACAUUCCCAUCUUCCCCAAAAGAAACCCUGUACACAUGAGCAGACAUUCUUCAUUUCCACCCCCACUACCCCAACCCAGCACUAGGUAACAAUCUAUUUUCUGGCUCUAUAAAUUUGUCUAUUCUGGACUUUUCAUACGAAUGGAAUCAUACAAUAUGUGACCUUUUGUGACUGGCUUCCUUCACCUAGCAUAAUGUUUUCAAGAUUCAUCCAUGUUGUAGCAUGUAUCAGUAAUACUUCACUCCUUCUUAUUGCCAAAUGAUAUUCCAUUAUAUGGAUGUACCACCAUUGUUUAUCCAUUCAUCAGUUGAUGGACAUUUGCAUUGUUUCCACUUUCUGUCUAUUAUGAAUAAUGGUGCUAUGAAUAAUGCUUGUUGUUAGUGUACAACUUUUUGUGUGGAUAUAUGUUUUCAAUUCUCUUGGGUAUAUCCUGUAGGGGAGGAAGAGAGUUCCUCUACCCUCUAGGUCCUUCUGGCUGGGCUAUGAAUUAAAUUGACAUGAGACAGAAGAACAGGAGAAAAUCAAACAAAGCUUUAUAACAUGUAUACCUGGGAGAAACCCGGGAAAACUGAGCAACUUAGCCAGAAUGGCCAAAACUACCACCUUAAAUAGCAUCUUUAGCUAAAGACAAAGGAGGAUGUUGGAGGUGGAGGGAGUCAGUAAUGGGAGAUUACCAGAAAAUUAUGGUAAACAAGAGUAAGGUUAUGAUGCAGAUUUAAGUCCUUGGCUUCCACACUGAUAAGAGUUUCUAGAGAUAAGGUCAUCCCCCCUUCUUCCUGGUACAGAGAGGGAGACAUCUUUACAAAUGGAGAGUUCCCCUAGAAAUGUAAAUAUCUCUUACAAACGGUAACUUCUACUUGGUUUUCAGAGCUUCUCCCCUGCCUGCAGUUUCUUAAAAGUAACGAGCCCAAAAUAAUCCUCAUGCCAGAGAAACACAUUUUGGGGUGGCCAAUUCUGAUCCCCCAUUCCUCACUGUGGAAUUGCUGCGUCAUACGGUAAUUCUACAUUUAACAUUUUGAGGAACUACCAAACUAUUUCCAAAGUGGCUACACCAGUUUUAUUCCCAUCAGCAAGGUAUGAGGGUUCCAAUUUCUCCACGUCUUCACCAACAGUUGUUAUUGCCACCCUCAUGGGUAUGAAGUUGUAUCUUGUUAUGGUUUUGAUUUGCCUUCCCCUAAUGAUGGCAAUCAUCUUUUCAUGUGCUUAUUGGCCAUUUGUGUAUCUUCCUUGGAGAAAUGUUCAUUCACAUCUUUUGUCCACUUUUAAUUGUAUUAUUUGUCCUUUUAUUAUUGAGUUGUAAGAGUUCUUAAUAUAUUCUGGAUAUAAGUUAUUUGUCAGAUACAUAAUUUGCUAAUAUUUUCUCCCAUUCUCUGGGCUGUCAUUUUACUUUUUUGUUGGUUUCUUUUGAAGCACAAAAAUCUUUAAUUUUGAGGUAGUCCAAUUUGUCUAUUUUUAUUUUUGUUGCUUAUUCUUUUGGAGUCAUAUCCAAGAAAACACUGCCUAUCCCAAGGUCACAAAGGUUUACAUUUAUGUUUUCUUCUAAGAGUUUUAUACUUUUAGCUUUUAACUUUAGGUCUAGGAUCUGUUUUGGAUUAAUUUUUGUAUAUGGUAUGAGGUGGUGUCUCACUUUAUUCUUUUUUGAGUAGAUAUCUGGUUAUCCCAACACCAUUUGUUGAAAUUGCAUAAGCUUUUAAACCACAUACUAGAAAGCUGUUAAGUUAGCAGUUACAUUAGCUGUCUGUCACUGAGCAUCCGAGUAAGCAAAUUCAACUCUGGGAGCUUUCGGAAUCAGUAUUUGUUUCUGUAGAUUU
rnacentral:lncRNA from 1 species